rnacentral:rRNA from 1 species
GUUAGCAGCUAGCUCUCUUCAACUCUCACAUGAUUGCCCACUGAAGCUAAGCGGGGCUGGGUCCAGUCUGUACCUGGAUGUGAGACCACAUGGGAAAGCUAGGUUGCUGCUGGAA